UUAGCUAGUAAUCGCGAAUCAGAAUGUCGCGGUGAAUACGUUCCCGGGCCUUGUACACACCGCCCGUCACACCAUGAGAGUCGAUAACACCCGAAGCCUGUGAGCUAACCUUUUAGGAGGCAGCAGUCGAAGGUGGGGUUGAUGAUUGGGGUGAAGUCGUAACAAGGUACC
rnacentral:rRNA from 1 species